AAAGCGUGCGCAGGCGGUUAUGUAAGACAGAUGUGAAAUCCCCGGGCUCAACCUGGGAACUGCAUUUGUGACUGCAUGGCUAGAGUACGGUAGAGGGGGAUGGAAUUCCGCGUGUAGCAGUGAAAUGCGUAGAUAUGCGGAGGAACACCGAUGGCGAAGGCAAUCCCCUGGACCUGUACUGACGCUCAUGCACGAAAGCGUGGGGAGCAAACAGGAUUAGAUACCCUUGU
rnacentral:rRNA from 1 species